rnacentral:rRNA from 1 species
GAUGAACGCUGGCGGCGUGCCUAAUACAUGCAAGUCGAGCGAACGGACGAGAAGCUUGCUUCUCUGAUGUUAGCGGCGGACGGGUGAGUAACACGUGGAUAACCUACCUAUAAGACUGGGAUAACUUCGGGAAACCGGAGCUAAUACCGGAUAAUAUUUUGCACCGCAUGGUUCAAAAGUGAAAGACGGUCUUGCUGUCACUUAUAGAUGGAUCCGCGCUGCAUUAGCUAGUUGGUAAGGUAACGGCUUACCAAGGCAACGAUGCAUAGCCGACCUGAGAGGGUGAUCGGCCACACUGGAACGUAGACACGGUCCAGACUCCUACGGGAGGCAGCAGUAGGGAAUCGUCCGCAGUGGGCGAAAGCCUGACGGAGCAACGGCGCGUGAGUGAUGAAGGUCUUCGGAUCGUAAAACUCUGUUAUUAGGGAAGAACAUAUGUGUAAGUAACUGUGCACAUCUUGACGGUACCUAAUCAGAAAGCCACGGCUAACUACGUG